CAGGACGAACGCUGGCGGCGUGCCUAAUACAUGCAAGUCGAGCGAACAGACGAGGAGCUUGCUCCUCUGACGUUAGCGGCGGACGGGUGAGUAACACGUGGAUAACCUACCUAUAAGACUGGGAUAACUUCGGGAAACCGGAGCUAAUACCGGAUAAUAUAUUGAACCGCAUGGUUCAAUAGUGAAAGACGGUUUUGCUGUCACUUAUAGAUGGAUCCGCGCCGCAUUAGCUAGUUGGUAAGGUAACGGCUUACCAAGGCAACGAUGCGUAGCCGACCUGAGAGGGUGAUCGGCCACACUGGAACUGAGACACGGU
rnacentral:rRNA from 1 species